UUGGAGGGCAAGUCUGGUGCAGCAGCCGCGGUAAUUCCAGCUCCAAUAGCGUAUAUUAAAGUUGUUGCAGUUAAAAAGCUCGUAGUUGAAUUUCGGGGUCAGUAGGUUGGUCAUGCCACUGGUAUGUACUGGUCUCACUGAUUCCUCCUUCCUGAUGAGCUGUAAUGCCAUUAAUUUGGUGUUGCGGGGAAUCUGGACUGUUACUUUGAAAAAAUUAGAGUGUUUAAAGCAGGCUAACGCCUGAAUACAUUAGCAUGGAAUAAUGAAAUAGGACGUUCGAUCCUAUUUUGUUGGUUUCUAGGAUUGACGUAAUGAUUAAUAGGGAUAGUUGGGGGCAUUAGUAUUCAAUUGUCAGAGGUGAAAUUCUUGGAUUUAUUGAAGACUAACUACUGCGAAAGCAUUUGCCAAGGAUGUUUUCAUUAAUCAAGAACGAAAGUUAGGGGAUCGAAGACGAUCAGAUACCGUCGUAGUCUUAACCAUAAACUAUGCCGACUAGGGAUCGGAUGAUGUUAAUUUUUUAAUGACUCAUUCGGCGCCUUACGGGAAAC
rnacentral:rRNA from 1 species